rnacentral:hammerhead_ribozyme from 1 species
AUCCAGCUGACAAGAGCAAAUAAGUCGAAAUGCGCAUCCUGGAU